rfam:Aedes albopictus isolate Foshan contig59670, whole genome shotgun sequence.
UGUUCUGUGGCUUAGUUGGUUAAUGCGCCAGACUAGCGAUUCGGAGUCGUAGGUUCAAAGCCCACCAAAGCAA